UACGGAGGGUGCAAGCGUUGUUCGGAAUCAUUGGGCGUAAAGGGCGUGUAGGCGGUUUGUUAAGUCAUGUGUGAAAGCCCUCGGCUUAACCGGGGAACGGCGCAUGAAACUGGCGAGCUAGAGUACUGAAGAGGGGGGUGGAAUUCCAGGUGUAGCGGUGAAAUGCGUAGAUAUCUGGAGGAACACCGGUGGCGAAGGCGGCCCCCUGGUCGGAUACUGACGCUAAUACGCGAAAGCGUGGGGAGCAAACAGG
rnacentral:rRNA from 1 species